GGAAGUUCCCACUCUGGGUCACGUUUUUCAUCCGGAACCAGCAGUCCAGUCUUUCAGCCUUCAGGCUGUUUUUGACUUGAAGGUGGGAUAUCACAAGGGACCGGCCCCUAUCUGCCUAGGCAUUUGACUGCCUCCUGUCACUUAUCACUCAUAUGUUUAAAUUUUUAUUUUGUUUUAGAACAUCAAACCUCUAAAAGCCUUCCAUAUCCUCACUUUCAAUUGUCUAUAUCCUAUGUCACUAAAGAAACAGAAGCAAUCAGAAGAGAACUUCCAUUAGCUUCCUCUGUCACCAUCUACCCACCUGCAUUGAGCAAGUUAAAUCUUAUUAGUGUGCCUCCUCCAGAGAAGUACUUCUUCAGUGGCAGUGUUUUAAUGAUGUAAAGAAGUCUUUAUUAAUCAGAAAGAAAUCUUACAAUAAAUAAUUUGGGAAUGCAAAUGUCUUUAUGAUCUCAUACAAUUUUAUUAUUCCACCAUAAGUACUAUUAUUUUAGAUCUUUGAGAUCACUGAUAAAUUACUUAAACAUCAUAGUAUAUUACAAAGUUGAAGUGUCAGUCGCUUCGUGAGCCCCUGAUACUGUCUUCAGCAUUGCCCUUCUUAGAAAAUUGAUUCAUUGACUGUUUUGACCUCAUUGAUCUUGAUAUAUCUCCAACAUAAUUUCAGGGAUGCAUUAUAACUGAGGCUGAUUUGAAAUUAUUUUCUCUUAAAUAGCAUCACAGAAUGAACCUGAUAUUAGGAAAUCUAUGACAUUAAGUAACAUUUUUUAAAAGACUUUUUACAUUCAUCCCUCAAGAAGUAGAGCGCAUGUCCUUUUUCUAGCAGCUGCAAAUGACAACCUGCACAAGUUCAACAAUCCACAACUAUAUACAUGGCUACUAUGCAUGAAUCUGAUGACUGCAAAGGAUUGGAAGAAAAGUUAUAAAUAGGUGGUCAGGGAAAUGUCACCUUAGUUCUGAGACUAUAGAAAAACUUUUCAGCUGUACCUGGAGAAUGUAAAAACUACUGCUUAAUAAAUGAGUGUUUA
rnacentral:lncRNA from 10 species